rnacentral:misc_RNA from 1 species
GAGAUGCGCCUUUAAUAACUAUGAUCUCAGCAGUCCCACUAAAAUGUCAUGAACUUACGGUUUAAUCACAUGAUAUCAGAUUGGCUAAAAAUAUUCAUCCUGGGUUUAAAUUACAAAGUCAUCAAUCAAAGAAGGAUCACAUUCACACAACGUUAACAAGAAUACAUUUGAUUAAGAUAUGUGUGUAUAAGCAAACUUCACCUGGAAAAUUUCUGGAAUUUU